GACGAACGCUGGCGGCGUGCUUAACACAUGCAAGUCGAACGGAAAGGCCCUGCUUUUGUGGGGUGCUCGAGUGGCGAACGGGUGAGUAACACGUGAGUAACCUGCCCUUGACUUUGGGAUAACUUCAGGAAACUGGGGCUAAUACCGGAUAGGAGCUCCUGCUGCAUGGUGGGGGUUGGAAAGUUUCGGCGGUUGGGGAUGGACUCGCGGCUUAUCAGCUUGUUGGUGGGGUAGUGGCUUACCAAGGCUUUGACGGGUAGCCGGCCUGAGAGGGUGACCGGCCACAUUGGGACUGAGAUACGGCCCAGACUCCUACGGGAGGCAGCAGUGGGGAAUAUUGCACAAUGGGCUGAAGCCUGAUGCAGCAACGCCGCGUGCGGGAUGACGGCCUUCGGGUGGUAAACCGCUUUCGCCUGUGACGAAGCGUGAGUGACGGUAAUGGGUAAAGAAGCACCGGCUAACUACGUG
rnacentral:rRNA from 1 species